UAAAAGGGUGAAGGGGGAGCUUACAAUUUGAACACCGUGUUUCUCGGCAUGCGUAAGAUAAACGAGAAGACUUCCGAGGAUGACCGAUGUCAAAGGCGCCAUUGCUGAUAUCCAGAAGAACUUGGGUCUUCUCUUGCUCUGUUUGUAUCC